UUCUUUUUCAGUACUGAAUGCUAUCUCAUACGUUGUACAGAAAAAUACUUCAAAUCAAAUGAAAGGCAAGAUGAUAGAAUGAAGGCUUUGUUUGAUAGAAUGCAACAAGAAAUGACAACGACCGAAGUAACAAGCUUCAAAAGCAUUCAAUUGGUUUUCUUCCCGGUCGUUUUACUAGAUCACUACUAUUUGCUGUGUGUCAACUUUGUGGAAGA